CCCGGAAGUAGUAUGGAACCUUUUCACUCAUGCAUUAGCUGACAGAAGUGCCUCCCUGCUCCCGAGGAGAAGAGCAACAAAGUCCCACCAUGGCUGUUUUGUGGAAUAAAUUGUGACAACUACCGACAAGAUGAUGAACGACAUCAUAGAGGAACCGGAGAAGGACACCCUGCUGGAGCCGCAAGUCUUCCCGGGACCCAGUAAUGGCACCAGACCUAAAACAGCUGACGGAGGCAUCCGGCCAGUGGAGAAAAGAGGACCUUACAUCAUGUCGAGAGCUCCAGCAAUACACCUCAAACUACAGAAACACAGGGAGAUGGCGAGGAAAGCCCUGAAGAAGAAAGCUCUUUCUCCAGGACCCCCUGUGGUGCAUCAGCCCCGACAAGGAGCCAAGAGGACGGUGAAGUAUAACAAGGGCUACGCUGCUCUGAGUCAACAUGCUGGGGACAGUUUAGUGGCUCUGGACUCAGACAGUGACGAGGAGAUAGAUUUUGAGCAGUACUCUUCGGGAUACUCUUCAGCCGAGCUCCAUUGGACUCCAGAUGUUACUCCCACGGCCGGGUGGAGACGGACGAGGAGUUUGACGCCGGCUGGGUGACGUACUUCAGCAAACCUGACAUCGAUGCCUGGGAGCUGAGGAAAGGCAUGAACACCCUGAUCGGGUACGACCUGGUGCCCGAGGCUAAGACCGUGGACUCGGCGCUCAGAGCGUGCCGGAGACUGAACGACAUGGCCAGCGCCAUCCGUAUCCUGGAGGCCGUUAAGGUCCUUGGAUGUAUAACGAGAUGACGAUGAGCUCUUCUGAUUCCCCACUUUAAAUAUGUCUAUAUAUUGUUGAUCAAAUCCAUGCUUUCCUGUUGUGUACAAAAUGGUGGACCUAAUAAUAAAGAAACCAAUCAUUUAAGAA